GAUGAACGCUGGCGGCGUGCUUAACACAUGCAAGUCGAACGAGAAGUGAAGACGGAAACCUUCGUGCGGAAGGCUUUAUUUCGAGUGGCGGACGGGUGAGUAACGCGUGGGUAACCUGCCUCAUACAGGGGGAUAACAGUUGGAAACGACUGUUAAUACCGCAUAAGACCACAGCACCGCAUGGUGCGGGGGUAAAAACUCCGGUGGUAUGAGAUGGACCCGCGUUCGAUUAGCCAGUUGGCAGGGUAACGGCCCACCAAAGCGACGAUCGAUAGCCGGUCUGAGAGGCUGACCGGCCACAUUGAGACUGAGACGCGGCCCAAACUCCUACGGGAGGCAGCAGUGGGGAAUAUUGCACAAUGGGGGAAACCCUGAUGCAGCGACGCCGCGUGAGUGAAGAAGUAUUUAGGUAUGUACAGCUCUAUCAGCAGGGAAGAAAAUGACGGUACCUGAGUAAGAAGCCCCGGCUAACUACGUG
rnacentral:rRNA from 1 species